UUAGCUUUUCAGUCUUUUGGCUAACAUCAAGUGUAGUAUCUGUUCUAAUCAAUUUAAUAUCUUAUAAGUCCUCAAUGAGAGGACUUUAUAUUAAAUGGGUUUUGGCACCCGGAGUUGGAUUUGGAGCUUACUCCCUUGAGAAGAUCAUCUUGAGUGCCAUCACACAGCACAUGCAGGAGAACUAGG
rfam:Cuculus canorus isolate BGI_N303 unplaced genomic scaffold scaffold357, whole genome shotgun sequence.